GGGGAUUUAGCUCAGCGGCAUAAGCGCCUGCCUUGUAAGCAGGCAGUAGUGAGUUCCCC
rnacentral:tRNA from 1 species